GGGAGUCCAAUGAGAUCCAUUGAUUUCGGACUUUUAAUCCGUUGGUCACAAGUUCGAAUCUUGUACGUCCUACCA
rnacentral:tRNA from 1 species